rnacentral:rRNA from 1 species
UACAGAGGGUGCGAGCGUUAAUCGGAAUUACUGGGCGUAAAAGCGUGCGUAGACGGUUAUGUAAGUCAGGUGUGAAAAGCCCCCGGGCUCAACCUGGGAAUUGCAUUCGAGACUGAAUAGCUAGGGUGCGGUAGAGGGAAGCGGAAUUUCCGGUGUAGCGGUGAAAUGCGUAGAUAUCGGAAGGAACAUCAGUGGCGAAGGCGGCGACCUGGGUUGAUACUGGACGCUGAGGCGCGAAAGCGUGGGGAGCAAACAGG